AUUGAACGCUGGCGGAAUGCUUUACACAUGCAAGUCGAACGGCAGCACGGGGGCAACCCUGGUGGCGAGUGGCGAACGGGUGAGUAAUACAUCGGAACGUGCCCAGUCGUGGGGGAUAACGUAGCGAAAGCUACGCUAAUACCGCAUACGAACUCUGGUUGAAAGCGGGGGAUCGCAAGACCUCGCGCGAUUGGAGCGGCCGAUGGCAGAUAAGGUAGUUGGUGGGGGAAAGGCCUACCAAGCCGACGAUCUGUAGCUGGUCUGAGAGGACGACCAGCCACACUGGGACUGAGACACGGCCCAGACUCCUACGGGAGGCAGCAGUGGGGAAUUUUGGACAAUGGGCGCAAGCCUGAUCCAGCCAUUUCGCGUGCAGGAUGAAGGCCCUCGGGUUGUAAACUGCUUUUGUACGGAACGAAACGGUCCUGGUUAAUACCCGGGGCUAAUGACGGUACCGUAAGAAUAAGCACCGGCUAACUACGUGCCAGCAGCCGCCGUAA
rnacentral:rRNA from 1 species